GAAAUGCGAUAAGUAAUGUGAAUUGCAGAAUUCAGUGAAUCAUCGAAUCUUUGAACGCACAUUGCGCCCGCCAGUAUUCUGGCGGGCAUGCCUGUUCGAGCGUCAUUUCAACCAUCAAGCCCCCGGGCUUGCGUUGGGGACCUGCGGCUGCCGCAGGCCUCGAAAACCAGUGGCGGGCUCGCUGUCACACCGGGCGUAGUAGAUUUUUCGUCUCGCCCAGGGCGUGCUGCGGGUUCCGGCCGUUAAAAAGCCUCUCUUUUAACCCAAGGUUGACCUCGGAUCAGGUAGGAAGACCCGCUGAACUUAA
rnacentral:misc_RNA from 1 species